rnacentral:rRNA from 1 species
CCUACGGGAGGCAGCAGUGGGGAAUAUUGCACAAUGGGGGGAACCCUGAUGCAGCGACGCCGCGUGAGUGAAGAAGUAUUUCGGUAUGUAAAGCUCUAUCAGCAGGGAAGAAAAUGACGGUACCUGACUAAGAAGCCCCGGCUAACUACGUGCCAGCAGCCGCGGUAAUACGUAGGGGGCAAGCGUUAUCCGGAUUUACUGGGUGUAAAGGGAGCGCAGACGGCUGUGCAAGUCUGGAGUGAAAGGCUGGGGCCCAACCCCCGGACUGCUCUGGAAACUGGAAAGCUGGAGUGCAGGAGAGGUAAGCGGAAUUCCUAGUGUAGCGGUGAAAUGCGUAGAUAUUAGGAGGAACACCAGUGGCGAAGGCGGCUUACUGGACUGCAACUGACGUUGAGGCUCGAAAGCGUGGGGAGCAAACAGGAUUAGAUACCCGAGUAGUC